rnacentral:tRNA from 1 species
UCCCUGAUAGCUCAGUUGGUAGGGAGUCUGCCUGCAAUGCAGGAGAUCCUGGUUCAAUUCCUGGAUCGGGAA